rnacentral:rRNA from 1 species
GGAGUCUGGACCGUUCUCAGUUCCAAUGUGGCCGUUCAACCUCUCAGUCCGGCUACCGAUCGUCGCUUUGGUGGGCCGUUACCCCGCCAACUGGCUAAUCGGACGCGAGCUCAUCUUUGAUCGCCGGAGCUUUGGUAUCUUAACCAUGCGGUUAAAACACUUUAUGCGGUAUUAGCACAAGUUUCCCUGUGUUAUCCCCUAUCAAAGGCAGAUUGCUCACGCGUUACUCACCCGUCCGCCACUAACUUUACAAAAACCGAAGUUUCUCGUAUCGUCCGUUCGACUUGAAUGUGUUAUGCACGCCGCCAGCGUUUAUC